rnacentral:rRNA from 2 species
AAAUUGAAGAGUUUGAUCAUGGCUCAGAUUGAACGCUGGCGGCAGGCCUAACACAUGCAAGUCGAACGGUAGCACAGAGAGCUUGCUCUCGGGUGACGAGUGGCGGACGGGUGAGUAAUGUCUGGGAAACUGCCUGAUGGAGGGGGAUAACUACUGGAAACGGUGGCUAAUACCGCAUAACGUCGCAAGACCAAAGAGGGGGACCUUCGGGCCUCUUGCCAUCAGAUGUGCCCAGAUGGGAUUAGCUUGUUGGUGAGGUAACGGCUCACCAAGGCGACGAUCCCUAGCUGGUCUGAGAGGAUGACCAGCCACACUGGAACUGAGACACGGUCCAGACUCCUACGGGAGGCAGCAGUGGGGAAUAUUGCACAAUGGGCGCAAGCCUGAUGCAGCCAUGCCGCGUGUAUGAAGAAGGCCUUCGGGUUGUAAAGUACUUUCAGCGGGGAGGAAGGUGUUGUGGUUAAUAACCGCAGCAAUUGACGUUACCCGCAGAAGAAGCACCGGCUAACUCCGUGCCAGCAGCCGCGG